CCUACGGGAGGCAGCAGUGGGGAAUUUUCCGCAAUGGGCGAAAGCCUGACGGAGCAAUACCGCGUGAGGGACGAAGGUCUGUGGAUUGUAAACCUCUUUUGUUAGGGAAGAUAAUGACGGUACCUAACGAAUAAGCAUCGGCUAACUCCGUGCCAGCAGCCGCGGUAAGACGGAGGAUGCAAGCGUUAUCCGGAAUUAUUGGGCGUAAAGCGUACGUAGGCUGUUUAAUAAGUCUGUUGUCAAAGACUGAGGCUUAACCUUGGGAAGGCAAUGGAAACUGUAAGACUAGAGAGAGAUAGGGGCAGGAGGAAUUCCAGGUGUAGCGGUGAAAUGCGUAGAUAUCUGGAAGAACACCAGUGGCGAAAGCGUCCUGCUGGGUCUCAACUGACGCUGAAGUACGAAAGCUAGGGGAGCGAAUGGGAUUAGAUACCCCGGUAGUC
rnacentral:rRNA from 1 species